UACAGAGGGGGCAAGCGUUGUUCGGAAUUACUGGGCGUAAAGGGCGCGUAGGCGGCCUGCUAAGUCGAACGUGAAAUCCCUGGGCUCAACCCAGGAACUGCGUCCGAUACUGGUUGGCUUGAAUCCGGGAGAGGGACGCGGAAUUCCAGGUGUAGCGGUGAAAUGCGUAGAUAUCUGGAGGAACACCGGUGGCGAAGGCGACGUCCUGGACCGGCAUUGACGCUGAGGCGCGAAAGCCAGGGGAGCAAACGGG
rnacentral:rRNA from 1 species